UUGGGUUCAACAAAUGUUGAGCGACUCAGCCAAAGCUCAAAUUAGGAGAGGUAUUUAUGCACACACGCCUAUUACACUGUGUGCCUGCAUGGCUUCCAUACGCUUUCUGCCCCGAGGCUGAUGAAGGGUGUCUGGCGAAAAAGAGAUGACUUGCCAACGUGAAGCGAAAAGAUCUUGCGCCAGGCCUAAAGCAAAUGCAGGCAUGAAAUACACCACGUACAAGACACACAAGGGACGAGUGGUUGAGAACAAGAUGGUUGCAGGCUGACAAUGGCCUACGUCUAAGACGUGUAAUCUGACUCUUCAUUUGUGUCACCCUCUUCCCUGCAAAGUUCUCCAAAGUGGCUUUUACAGUAAACGGACAGUUUUGCUAGGUCACUUGUGACCUACAGAGCCCCAAUCAUGUCAGCAUUAAACAUUGGAAAUGAUAUGGUAGAAUGAUAUCAUAUCAUAGAUGUGCAUGCUGACAACACUUCACCAUUUGAAAUAAUAGUGUAAAUCAGGCCUAGCAGUUCCGGUGAGUCAGCUUGUAUUCCUGGAAAAAGUGUUGUCAAAUGGACACAAUCCAGAGAAUCGGGUGGCUAGUUCUGCACUUCCGGUGAGGGCUCUAGUCUUGUAUUUCUUCGGCAACAGCCCCUUCUGCUGCAAGGCAAACUAUUUUUGGAGAAGGACGGGCCUUCUCCAUUGCUGCCCCAAGGCUUUGGAACAUACUUCCUUCUGAAAUAAGAGCCUCCCCAUCUCUUACAACCUUUUAAAAGGCAGUCAAGGCGCAUUUGUUCACCCAGGCUUUUAAUUAGAUAUUGUUUUAAUUGUGUUUUUAAUAGUUUUAAUGUUUUAAAUUUUAAUUGUUUUAAUAUUUUAAAUGUUUUAAUAUUUUAUCUGUUGUUUUUAUAGUUUUGUUGUAAACUGCCCAGAGACUUGUGUUUGAGGCGGUAUACAAAUGUGUUAAAUAAUAAUAAUUUUCAGAACUC